AGAGACUGCAAGCGUUAUUCGGAUUCACUGGGCGUAAAGGGUGCGCAGGCGGCCAAGUGUGUGAGGCGUGAAAGCCUGGGGCUUAACCCCAGAAUUGCACCUCAAACUACUUGGCUAGAGCAUUGGAGAGGGUAGCAGAAUUCAUGGUGUAGCAGUGAAAUGCGUAGAUAUCAUGAGGAAUACCAGAGGCGAAGGCGGCUACCUGGACAAUUGCUGACGCUCAGGCACGAAAGCGUGGGGAGCAAAAGGGAUUAGAUACCCCUGUAGUCCACGCCCUAAACGGUGCACACUAGGUCUUGGCGGAUUCGACCCCACCAGGGCCCAAGCUAACGCGUUAAGUGUGCCGCCUGAGGACUACGGCCGCAAGG
rnacentral:rRNA from 1 species